UACGGAGGGGGCUAGCGUUGUUCGGAAUUACUGGGCGUAAAGCGCACGUAGGCGGCUUUGUAAGUUAGAGGUGAAAGCCCGGGGCUCAACUCCGGAAUUGCCUUUAAGACUGCAUCGCUAGAAUUGUGGAGAGGUGAGUGGAAUUCCGAGUGUAGAGGUGAAAUUCGUAGAUAUUCGGAAGAACACCGGUGGCGAAGGCGGCGACCUGGUCCGAUACUGACGCUGAGACGCGAAAGCGUGGGGAGCGAACCGG
rnacentral:rRNA from 1 species